UAUAUGGUCAAGCGAGUAAGCGCACACGGUGGAUGCCUAGGCAGUUGGAGGCGAUGAAAGACGUAGGAGCCUGCGAUAAGCUCCGGUGAGGUGGCAAACAACCUUUGACCCGGAGAUCUCUGAAUGGGGAAACCCACCCGUUUUAAGACGGGUAUCAUGCACUGAAUCCAUAGGUGUAUGAGGCGAACCCGGGGAACUGAAACAUCUAAGUACCCGGAGGAAAAGAAAUCAACCGAGAUUCCCUUAGUAGCGGCGAGCGAACGGGGACCAGCCCUUAAGCUGAUAAUGGUUUAGUGGAAAGAACUGGAAAGUUCUGCGAUACAGGGUGAUAGCCCCGUACACGAAAGGCCAUUUUGAGUGAAAUCGAGUAAGUCGGGACACGUGUUAUCUUGACUGAAUAUGGGGGGACCAUCCUCCAAGGCUAAAUACUACCAACUGACCGAUAGUGAACUAGUACCGUGAGGGAAAGGCGAAAAGAACCCCGGAGAGGGGAGUGAAAUAGAUCCUGAAACCGUGUGCGUACAAGCAGUAGGAGCAGACUUGUUCUGUGACUGCGUACCUUUUGUAUAAUGGGUCAGCGACUUAUUUUCAGUGGCAAGGUUAACCGUAUAGGGGAGCCGUAGGGAAACCGAGUCUUAAUAGGGCGUCAAGUCGCUGGGAAUAGACCCGAAACCGGGCGAUCUAUCCAUGGCCAGGUUGAAGGUGCCGUAACAGGCACUGGAGGACCGAACCCACUAAUGUUGAAAAAUUAGGGGAUGAGCUGUGGAUCGGAGUGAAAGGCUAAUCAAGCCCGGAGAUAGCUGGUUCUCCUCGAAAGCUAUUUAGGUAGUGCCUCAUGUCUCACCACUGGGGGUAGAGCACUGUUUCGGCUAGGGGGUCAUCCCGACUUACCAACCCGAUGCAAACUCCGAAUACCAGUGAGUGCAAUCAUGGGAGACACACGGCGGGUGCUAACGUUCGUCGUGGAGAGGGAAACAACCCAGACCGCCAGCUAAGGUCCCAAAUCUCGGUUAAGUGGGAAACGAAGUGGGAAGGCAGAGACAGCURGGAGGUUGGCUUAGAAGCAGCCACCCUUUAAAGAAAGCGUAAUAGCUCACUAGUCGAGUCGGCCUGCGCGGAAGAUGUAACGGGGCUCAAACCGAGAACCGAAGCUGCGGAUGCAGCAUUCCACUUAAGUUCAUUUAUGUUCAACAGCAGCGCGGCGCGCUGGCACUCACCUGGCGAAGCCAGAGGGUGUCAAAGCGACCAUGACUUUGAGUCGAGUAGGUGGCUCAAAGAGAAAAUGGUUUAUUGCGGCGACGCACCUGGCGAAGCCAGAGGGUGUCAAAGCGGCUAUUACUGUUGAGUUGGGCAAAUGUUAAGUGAAUUUAAGGGAAUGCUGCAUGGUAGAGGAGCGUUCUGUAAGCCGUUGAAGGUGUAUCGAGAGGUAUGCUGGAGGUAUCAGAAGUGCGAAUGCUGACGUGAGUAACGAUAAAGGGAGUGAAAAACUCCCUCGCCGGAAGAUCAAGGUUUCCUGUCCAACGCUAAUCGGGACAGGGUUAGUCGGCACCUAAGGCGAGGCCGAAAGGCGUAGUCGAUGGAAAACAGGUUAAUAUUCCUGUACCGCUUUAUACUGCGAUGGGGGGACGGAGUAGGCUAGGUGAUCAGGGCGUUGGUUGUCCCUGUACAAGCGUGUAGGCUGAGUGCUUAGGAAAAUCCGGGCGCUUAAGGCUGAGACGUGAUGUGGAGCUCAAUUGCGAGCGAACUCAUUGAUGCCAUGCUUCCAAGAAAAGCCUCUAAGCUUCAGGUAUAAAGCGACCGUACUCUAAACCGACACAGGUGAUCAGGUAGAGAAUACCCAGGCGCUUGAGAGAACUAUGGUGAAGGAACUAGGCAAAAUGGUACCGUAACUUCGGGAGAAGGUACGCCGCUUUUGGUGAUCGGACUUGCUCCGUAAGCUGAGGGUGGCCGCAGAGACCAGGCCCCUGCGACUGUUUAUCUAAAACACAGCACUCUGCAAACUCGUAAGAGGAAGUAUAGGGUGUGACGCCUGCCCGGUGCCGGAAGGUUAAUUGAUGGGGUUAGCUUCGGCGAAGCUCUUGAUCGAAGCCCCGGUAAACGGCGGCCGUAACUAUAACGGUCCUAAGGUAGCGAAAUUCCUUGUCGGGUAAGUUCCGACCUGCACGAAUGGCGUAACGAUGGGGGCGCUGUCUCCACCAUAGACUCAGUGAAAUCGAAAUCGCUGUGAAGAUGCAGUGUUCCCGCGGCUAGACGGAAAGACCCCGUGAACCUUUACUAUAGCUUGGCACUGAACUUUGAACCUAUUUGUGUAGGAUAGGUGGGAGGCUUUGAAGCGUGGACGCCAGUCCAUGUGGAGCCAUCCUUGAAAUACCACCCUGGUAUGUUUGAGGUUCUAACUUAGACCCGUUAUCCGGGUCGAGGACAGUGUCUGGUGGGUAGUUUGACUGGGGCGGUCUCCUCCCAAAGAGUAACGGAGGAGCGCGAUGGUACACUCGGCAUGGUCGGAAAUCAUGCUAUGAGCGCAAAGGUAAAAGUGUGCUUGACUGCGAGAGCUACAACUCGAGCAGGUGCGAAAGCAGGUCUUAGUGAUCCGGUGGUUCUGUAUGGAAGGGCCAUCGCUCAACGGAUAAAAGGUACUCCGGGGAUAACAGGCUGAUACCGCCCAAGAGUUCAUAUCGACGGCGGUGUUUGGCACCUCGAUGUCGGCUCAUCACAUCCUGGGGCUGAAGCCGGUCCCAAGGGUAUGGCUGUUCGCCAUUUAAAGUGGUACGCGAGCUGGGUUCAGAACGUCGUGAGACAGUUCGGUCCCUAUCUGCCGUGGGCGUUGGAAAGUUGAGGAGAGCUGCUCUUAGUACGAGAGGACCGGAGUGGACGAAUCUCUGGUGUUUGGGUUGUCACGCCAGUGGCAUUGCCCAGUAGCUAUAUUCGGACAGGAUAACCGCUGAAAGCAUCUAAGCGGGAAGCCCCCUCCAAGAUUAACUUUCCCUGGGAGUUUAACUCCCCUGAAGGGCCGUUCAAGACUAGGACGUUGAUAGGCUGGGUGUGGAAGCGGUGUGAGCCGUUGAGCUAACCAGUACUAAUUGCCCGUGAGGCUUGACCAUAUAACGCAAG
rnacentral:rRNA from 1 species